rnacentral:rRNA from 1 species
CACGUAGGGCGCAAGCGUUGUCCGGAAUUAUUGGGCGUAAAGGGCGCGUAGGCGGCUCGGCACGUCCGUUGUGAAAUCGCCCGGCUCAACUGGGCGGGGUCAGCGGAUACGGUCGAGCUUGAGCAAGCUAGGGGGUAAUGGAAUUCCCGGUGUAGUGGUGGAAUGCGUAGAUAUCGGGAGGAACACCAGUGGCGAAGGCGGUUACCUGGGGCUUUGCUGACGCUGAUGCGCGAAAGCGUGGGGAGC